rnacentral:rRNA from 1 species
UGUCUAGUAUAAGCAUUAUACCGUGAAACUGCGAAUGGCUCAUUAAAUCAGUUAUCGUUUAUUUGAUAGUACCUUACUACUUGGAUAACCGUGGUAAUUCUAGAGCUAAUACAUGCUAAAAACCCCAACUUCGGGAGGGGUGUAUUUAUUAGAUAAAAAACCAAUGCCCUUCGGGGCUCCUUGGUGAUUCAUAAUAACUUCUCAGAUCGCAUGGCUUUACGCCGGCGACGGUUCAUUCAAAUUUCUGCCCUAUCAACUUUCGAUGGUAAGGUAUUGGCUUACCAUGGUUUCAACGGGUAACGGGGAAUUAGGGUUCGAUUCCGGAGAGGGAGCCUGAGAAACGGCUACCACAUCCAAGGAAGGCAGCAGGCGCGCAAAUUACCCAAUUCCGAUACGGAGAGGUAGUGACAAUAAAUACUGAUACAGGGCUCUUUUGGGUCUUGUAAUUGGAAUGAGUACAAUUUAAACCUCUUAACGAGGAACAAUUGGAGGGCAAGUCUGGUGCCAGCAGCCGCGGUAAUUCCAGCUCCAAUAGCGUAUAUUAAAGUUGUUGCAGUUAAAAAGCUCGUAGUUGAACCUUUGGCCUGGCUGGCAGGUCCGCCUCACCGCGUGCACUUGUCCGGCCGGGCCUUUUCUUCUGGAGAACCGCAUGCCCUUCACUGGGUGUGUUGGGGACCAGGACUUUUACUUUGAAAAAAUUAGAGUGUUCAAAGCAGGCCUUUGCUCGAAUACGUUAGCAUGGAAUAAUAGAAUAGGACGUGCGGUCCUAUUUUGUUGGUUUCUAGGACCGCCGUAAUGAUUAAUAGGGACAGUCGGGGGCAUCAGUAUUCAAUUGUCAGAGGUGAAAUUCUUGGAUUUAUUGAAGACUAACUACUGCGAAAGCAUUUGCCAAGGAUGUUUUCAUUAAUCAGUGAACGAAAGUUAGGGGAUCGAAGACGAUCAGAUACCGUCGUAGUCUUAACCAUAAACUAUGCCGACUAGGGAUCGGGCGGUGUUUCUAUUGUGACCCGCUCGGCACCUUACGAGAAAUCAAAGUGUUUGGGUCUGGGGAGUACG